rnacentral:rRNA from 1 species
AACGAACGCUGGCGGCAGGCUUAACACAUGCAAGUCGAGCGCCCCGCACGGGGAGCGGCAGACGGGCGAGUAACGCGUGGGAAUCUACCCAUCUCUACGGAAUAACGCAUGGAAACGUGUGCUAAUACCGUAUACGUCCUUCGGGAGAAAGAUUUAUCGGAGAUGGAUGAGCCCGCGUUGGAUUAGCUAGUUGGUGGGGGAAAGGCCUACCAAGGCGACGAUCCCUAGCUGGGCUGAGAGGAUGAUCAGCCACACUGGGACUGGGACACGGCCCAGACUGCUACGGGAGGCAGCAGUGGGGAAUAUUGGACAAUGGGCGCAAGGCUGAUCCAGCCAUGCAGCGUGAGUGAUGAAGGCGCUAGGGUUGUAAAGCUCUUUCACCGGUGAAGAUAAUGACGGUAACCGGAGAAGAAGCCCCGGCUAACUUCGUGCCAGCCGCCGCGGUAAUAC